CUGCUGCCUCCCGUAGGAGUUUGGGCCGUGUCUCAGUCCCAAUGUGGCCGGCCACCCUCUCAGGUCGGCUACUGAUCGUCGCCUUGGUGGGCCGUUACCCCGCCAACCAGCUAAUCAGACGCGGGUCCAUCUCAUACCACCGGAGUUUUUCACACCGGACCAUGCGGUCCUGUGCGCUUAUGCGGUAUUAGCAGUCAUUUCUAACUGUUAUCCCCCUGUAUGAGGCAGGUUACCCACGCGUUACUCACCCGUCCGCCGCUAAG
rnacentral:rRNA from 1 species